UGUGAGUGAGAACUUGACGAAUAGUUUGGCUGACCCAAAGUACAUUCAUACUACAUGUGUAAGUACAUGCGUUAAGUUACGUGAACUUGUAUAAAUAUUUAGUGAGUGUGAGUUGCUGGGUAUUGUUAUUAUUACAAAGUGAAAGCCAUACAAAGCUGAACUACUUACAUAAGUCAUUAAUUGUAUCGAUACGUCGUUUUUUCAAAACUGAAAUGUGGGGAACCUCAGCUGCACACUGGUUGGUGCGCAAGAAAUAUAUUAAUCCGGUUGGCAAGAUCCACUAUGUAUUAGGCGACUUGACUAAUCCACCAACUUGAUUUUUAAUAACACCCAUUACGCCUCAUUGCUAAUUGACUCUAUGUACACAUAACUUGUAUGCAAAUUCAUCUAAUUAUAUGCGAGUCAUCUACCACGGUGCCCAGCCUCUGAUCCCAGACUUUGGCAUAACUGCAUAUUUCAACCGACUCUGGAGUGGAAUGAAGCAGUUUAGUUGAUGAAACUAUGCAGGUUUUUAUAAACACCGUGUCCACAUCUGCUCUCCUCUCCUGCACAACAACCAAGCAACCAAGUGUGUAAUAGGUGUAAUCUAAUCAAGCCCUCCACCUAUGUAUGUGUGCACGUAGGUACAGAAUAUGUACACAAAUGUAUGACCAUCUUCCACUAUUUAGUUGCAACUUGAAGUCAAAGGAAUAAAGUCAAAGUUAUGCAUGCGAGGCUCAGCACAUCGGAAAUUGAGAUUCCACAGACAGUGUGCUCAACACUGGAAAAUUCGUAGGGACGCGUCGUUAGGCGAAACACAAUUAAAAAUGCUCAAGAUGCACAGAUACAAUAAAAGGACACUGAAUUCCUGGGGACAAGUUUAGAAAUCCGCCGUGUGUUUAUUCAAGCAGGCCAAGAAAUGACAGAUGAAGUAACGAAGGUUGCUCGGAAAAAAUAAACCCUUCUUUUCCUCAUGGCUGGCAUUCUCUUCUUCCUCUUCUUCUUAUUUACUUUGUUGUUUGUCUUUGACUUUUACGAUUAAAGAGAAAAGCUGUCUUAUUAUUCUUUGGUUAGUUAGUUGAUGAAAAAAUUGUAUUGUGUUGGGUAAUAGUUGAAGAUCUAAUCAAGCAUUUUUAACUUAAUACCACCCAGAGUUGACAAUUACUUGGACUGUAUUACAACCAACCUCGAUCUCUAAUUAAAAUUCAACCCCAGCCAACAGGCUGUGACAUUAUUUUGUUUCUUGUAGCUAUAGACUCCUCACAGUCCACCUCAUUCCUCUCUGCUUUGGUUUGAAUUAAUUAAAAAAGAAUCUGACUUUCAAUUUGACAUGAUAAAAAUUAAUAAAACUAACCACAGCUCGACAUUUUGUUUCAAGCCGGAUGAGCAAGUCACUUUUCUCAUUCUAAUUUCGAAUUACCAGGUAGGAAAGAAGGACUCAAGGUUGAAUCAAUGCAUAUGUACAUGUUUCGUAGUUGGAUAAUAUAAUAUGUAUGUCUUUGAAGCUGGAGCAGACAGUUUGGAGCUAGUGCCUUUACUGCCUUUUACACAGUUCCAGUUAGUUAGGGUUCUAUGCUCAAAUUUAAACUGCACUGCGAGUAGUACACAUGAUCCUGAGUUUUCUAGAAAUUAUUAUUCCUCCCAUGCUCCCACACCUCAUCCUCUGCUGUAGGUUUAUAUUCGACGCAACUAAUUGUUAAAUCACUUUAGCUUUGUGACAUGUCAGACUGUAUGCCUCCCUCAUUCGAAUUCGACCCAACUCACCCUCUCUCUCUCACAUUUUCCAAGGGUUGGUAUGCCAUGCUGGAUGCUACUUGCAUUCACGGACCGACCUAGACAAAAGCUGAAGCAACCAUCACAAUAGUGAAACUAUCGGCCAAAUGUAAACUUUCAACGUGACCACAAACCAAAAACCAAGCCAGGUACGAGAAGGAGGAACGUUGCCUGCUGCAUAUCGUCAUCCCUUGGAUGGAGGUGAAUAGCGCAGUGCCGUUAAAGUGAGAGUGAGAGGAGAACUGCCCUUAAUGAAAAUAAUCAACACGGCCAAAGUGCUGUACCGUUUUAACGACGAGGGAAACAAAGCCCACGUCGAAAGAAGGGAAGAAAGAUCGACCAUGGUGCAGAAGAAGAAGAAGGAGAGAACCAAGCCCAAAUUUUUGAACGGUGUGGAAAUGAGAUAGAAAAAGGUUCAUGUUCACAUCGAGAGAAAACCAACCAUCAUUCACCUUCGUCAAGAGAGGAAAAAUGUUGCUCAAGGAGAAGAGUUGGAGAGAGAAGCGGAGACCCCGUAAACAGACUUUGAUUGUUCGAUUGGCUUAAACAGUGAAAUAAAAUGAACCUCACUUAACUUAAAUUUCAUCGAGAGGUGAUUACUUACGAGAGGAGAGAGCGGAUUGAGCCGAGAUACAGAGAGAGUGCAGAGAUCGGCCAGAAAUCUUCUGAAAUGUCAAGUCAGAGCUCAUAAUAAAAUCUAACACCACCUGAAAAGCCGAGAACCACUCAUAAG